CCUACGGGAGGCAGCAGUGAGGAAUAUUGGUCAAUGGUCGCGAGCCUGAACCAGCCAAGUAGCGUGAAGGAUGACUGCCCUACGGGUUGUAAACUUCUUUUAUAAAGGAAUAAAGUGAGGCACGUGUGCCUUUUUGUAUGUACUUUAUGAAUAAGGAUCGGCUAAUUCCGUGCCAGCAGCCGCGGUAAUACGGAGGAUCCGAGCGUUAUCAGGAUUUAUUGGGUUUAAAGGGAGCGUAGAUGGGUUGUUAAGUCAGUCGUGAAAGUGUGCGGCUCAACCGUAAAAUUGCAAUUGAUACUGGCAGCCUUGAGUACACUUGAGGUAGGCGGAAUUCGUGGUGUAGCGGUGAAAUGCUUAGAUAUCACGAAGAACUCCGAUUGCGAAGGCAGCUUACUAAACUGCCACUGACAUUGAUGCUCGAAAGUGUGGGUAUCAAACAGGAUUAGAUACCCCGGUAGUC
rnacentral:rRNA from 1 species